rnacentral:rRNA from 1 species
UACGUAGGGUGCAAGCGUUGUCCGGAAUUCUUGGGCGUAAAGAGCUCGUAGGCGGUCUGUCGCGUCGAAUGUGAAAUCCCGAGGCUCAACCUCGGGUCUGCAUUCGAUACGGGCAGACUAGAGUUCGGUAGGGGAGUCUGGAAUUCCUGGUGUAGCGGUGAAAUGCGCAGAUAUCAGGAGGAACACCGGUGGCGAAGGCGGGACUCUGGGCCGAUACUGACGCUGAGGCACGAAAGCGUGGGGAGCAAACAGG